GCCGGGCACGGUGGCUCAUGCCUGUAAUCCCAACACUUUGGGAGGCUGAGGUGGGUGGAUCACUUGAGGUCAGGAGUUCCAGACCAGCCUGACCAAUAUGGCGAGCCCCCAUCUCUA
ensembl:misc_RNA Metazoa_SRP Metazoan signal recognition particle RNA